GAAAUUAAAAAUUAAAAGAAAGGAUAUGUCUGUUAGAAAUAAAAAGAAGAAUAAGGAAAAGAGUCACAUCUGUUGGAAAAGACCAACAAGAGCAACUCUUUUAAAUAGACACAAACAGUGUCUGUUGGGAACAGGCAUCUAAGCCUAUUAAAGAAGACCCUCUUUAUCCAACAAAACAUACAUCAUAAAAUAAAAAACUUUCCUUCUUUUCUCAAAAUUUCUCAAGUUUUCUUCUAUACUAUUUUUCUACAGAAAAAUAUUAUAGAAGUUUGAUAAUCUUGUUAUAUUCCGGUGAGUGCUCAGCGGAUUGAUUUCGUCAGUGCAAAACGUCAUCAAUCACUAGGCUUCAUUGUAUCUUCGAGGUUUAUAUGCUGAUAACUCUUUUGCACACUACAACUAAGGGCGAAUAAAACCUUAAGGAUAGUGGCAUUGAUACACGUCUUGAAGCCAAUUUCUAAGUUUUUCAGUUAGGUGUUCUAACAAUCUUAAGGUUUUAUUCCAUUCCAAUAAUAACUGCUGCAAGUGGAACACUAAGUGAAUUGGCUUUUGACUUUAUAAAAUUGGACUAGUUUGAUGGUGGCAACUUUCUAAGAUGGCAAAAAAAGAUGCAUUUCCUACUAUCAACCUUGAAAGUUGUCUAUGUUUUGACUACACCUAGACUAAAAGAAGGAGAAAAUGAGUCUGGUGCUACAACGAGAGAGAGGCAAAAAUGGGACAAUGCCGAUUAUAUGUGCAAAGGUCACAGCUUGAAUGGUUUGGUUGAUGGCUUAUUUGACACAUACUAGAACGAGGCUACUGCAAAAGAAUUGUGGGACAAAUUGGAAGUCAGGUAUAUGACAGAAGAUGCAACAAGAAAGAAAUUUCUAGUUAGUCACUUUAUUAAUUAUCAAAUGGUUCUGGGUGUUCUAUUAUAGAACAACUUCGAGAAUUGAAAGAAUGUUUAAUCAGUUUAAACAAUAUAAAAUGAAAAUGGAUGAAACUAUCCUCCAUUAUAGACAAACUUCCUCCAUCAUGGAAAGACUUUAAAAAAAGUCUGAAACACAAAAGGGAAGAAAUAACUCUUGAGGCUUUGGUAAAUCAUCUUCGAAUUGAAAAGGAAUAUAGGAAACAAGAACAAGUUGUUGUUUUUGGUGAAGCCAAAGUACAUGUUGUGGAGGAAGGACAGACCACUAAACCUGCUAAAAAGAAGUUCAAGCAUAUUGUUAAUGGUCAGAAAUUCAAAAGACAAAACAAAAGCACAUGUUUCUAUUGCGAAAAACCAGGGCAUUUCAAGAAUGAAUGUCGAUUAUUGAAGAAGAAAAAUAAUUCUUCAAAAAGAAAAGCUUUUAACAAUUUUAUAGCCAUGAUUUCUGAAAUCAAUGUGCUUGAAGAAAAUGAUGCAUGGUGGGUUGAUUCAGGAGCAACAAAACAUGUGUGCAAUGACAAGAGUCUUUUCAAGAAUUUCGUACCAAGUGAGUGUGGAAAUUUUCUAUACAUGGAAAAUUCUUCUACAGCAAUGAUUAAAGGCAAAGGGACUAUUGAACUUGAACUCACUUUUGGAAAAACUUUAACAUUGAAAGAUGUAUACUAUGCUCCAGAAGUUAGGAAAAAUUUAGUGUUUGAAAGUCUAUUAAAUAAGUUUGGCUUCAAGCUUGUAUUUGAGGCAGAUAAAUUCAUUUUGUCCAAAAGGGGAAUUUUUGUUGAGAAAGGUUACAUGUAUGAUGGAAUGUUCAAAUUAAAUAUUGUUAAUAAUAAUAAGAAUAAAAUAGUUGUUUCUGCUUGUAUGGUUGAAUCUUCUUAUUUAUGGCAUUAUAGAUUAGGACAUUUAAAUUAUAGAAGACUGGAUGACAUGUAUAAAAUGGACUUAAUUCCAAAAUUUAAUCCAAAUAUUGAUAAAUGCAAUACAUGCAUGCUAACAGAAAUAUUUUGUCACAUUCAUUAAUGAUUUCUCUAGACAUUGCUAUGUAUAUUUGUUGCAUUCUAAAGAUGAAAUGCUUGAUAAAUUUAAGGUUUAUAAAUCAGAAGUUGAAUUACAAUGUGAAUCUUUUAUCAAGUGUUUAAGAUCGGAUAAAGGUGGAGAAUAUUAUAGUCCAAGUUAUUUUGCCCCCACUGGAAUAAUCCAUCAUAUUUCAGCACUUGACACACCGCAACAUAAUGGUGUAGCAGAAAGGAAGAAUAGGGUCUUGAUCGAAAUGGUAAAUGCUAUGUUAUCAUAUUCAGGUCUUUGAAAAAAGUUUUUGGGGAGAAGCUUUGUUAACAGCUUGUCACAUAUUAAAUAGAGUUCCUAAAAAGGAAACUAAAAUGACCUUAUAUGAGCAAUGGAAGAAAAGGAAACCAAACCUUAGUUAUAUGAAGGUUUGGGGAUGUAAAGUUGUAGUUAAAGUUCCAAAACCCAAAAGGAAGAAAUUGGAUGAAAAAGGAAUAGAAUGCAUAUUCAUAGGAUAUGCACAACAUAGUAAAGCAUAUGGGUUCAUGGUAAUUAAACCAAAUGAUUCAAUUUCAGUCAAUACUAUUAUUAAAUCAAGAGAUGCAAUAUUUGAUCAAAAUAGAUUCAAAUCUAUUUUAAGACAACUACAGCCACUACAAUCAAUUCAAUCAAAUGUCAUUCCAUUGGAACAAAAUGAAAAUAAUGAUGAAUCUAGACCAGAAAUAAGGAAAAGCAAAAGGGCUAGAAAGGUAAAAGAUUUUGGUCCAGACUUUUAUAUGUUCCUUAUAGAAGGAACAGGAGAAAAUAUGGACAAUAAGAUUCCUUAUUGUUUUAAUUUAGAAUCGAACCCUGUUACAUAUGACGAGGCAAUGAAGUCUCAAGAUUUUGCAUUUUGGAAGGAAGCAAUCAAUGAUAAGCUAGACUCAAUAAUGGGAAAUAAUACUUGGAUUUUGGUUAUUCUGCAUUUCUCACAAUUUCCUUAUUGUUUUAAUUUUUCUUUCCUUCUUUCUUUUUUUCUUCUCUCUUUCCUUGGCCGGCGUUUCUUCUUCCCUCUCUCUCUUUUUCUUCUCCUCUUUUUCCCUUCCUUCUCGACUUUCCUUUUUCUCCUUUUUUCCUUUUUUUCUUUUCCUUUUCCUUUUCCUUCUCUUUCCCUUACUAGCCAAACCCACUGGCUUUCUCCCUUUUUUUAUUAUGCCUUUUUGUUGUGAUUUUUUGAUUUAUUUUUUUUAUUGUGGCUAGGGUAGUUGGCUAAUAGAAUUUUGGAUUUUUUUUUUAUUUGCUAGUUUCUACCAUUUAAAGAAAAUGUGAUUUUUUUUGUUGUUGAUGGAUCUAGUUUUUUUUUUGUUUCAAAAAUCUCCCCCCCCCCCCCCCUCAUGUAUGAAUUUCCCAAUUUUUAAGAACCGGAUUGUCCAAAUUCUUGGACAAUCUCAGGAGUGAAAUCAUGCUCUUCUGAGCAUGAUUUCACAAAACUCCUGGCAACAGGAGUCUUGGGGGUGGCAGUUGGAGGUGACUGGAGAGGGAGGCUGAGCAAAUGUUCAGUCUUUUCCUUUCUCUGUUUCCCUCUUUUUUUUCUUUUUUUCUUUUUUUAUUAUAUAUUUAUUAUUUAUUUAUUUUUUUGGUUAAUUUUUAUUAUAUAUUUUUAUUUGGGGGAUAGGUGUCUACACUAAGCUACCAUGCCAUCCAAAAUCUUUAAAUGUUUACUAAAGAUUUCAAUUGACAUGAAACAUCAAGCUUGUGCAAAAAGUAGAAAAAUAGGAAAUUGUGAGAAAUGGUCCUCCUCGUAAGUCCAUUUCAGAAAUAGCCUUCAAUAUAAAGUUAACUAUUUUUACUCAAUUUUAGUUAUUAGAUGACAAAAAUACCCUUAAAAAAUUUCAAACAAAUUAAAUGCUUUCAAUUUUUCUGUCCCGCCAUUCGUCUAUUGUGCUUCAGCUUUCCCUAAUUUUAUCACCAUCACCAUCUCUUUUUGUUUGUCUCUCAUCAUUUUGCUAAUACAUAGAUUAAAACAUACAUAUAUAAUCAGUUUAAGGAAUUAAAUAUAGUGUAAGGUCUGAACAUUAGCAAUUUGCUGAUCAUUUUCGCACUUUAUUGUGAUUAGUUGUGAAUUAUAUAAUAUCAAUAUUGAUUGCUAUUAUAUCUUAUAUUGACUAAUCAGGCUGGGACAUGAAUAUAUGGUUCACUAUCACUAUCACUGAAUUAAUAUAUUUGAUCAACCAAGUCACUGAUGCAGAUGCACAGGACGUGUGACAAAGGAUAUAACCAAGUCAUUGGUACAGGAUGCAUGCAAUAUUUUCCACGCGAUUUCUUUUCCUUGUUUGCUGCUCCUAUAUAAUGUUUUCCACUCAAACGAAUCUUCCAUUAACAAAUAGUCUCAAAAGUUAAAGGUCAGAUUUAGAGGUCUUACAUAAAUCAGAGAGAAGAGAGAGAUAAGAAUUUGUAAGCUUCAGAAAUGGAGAUAAUCGAGCAACUGUUUACUCAUGGAACAGACGGCUCUAGACUCAAACCAGAAGAUCAUAUAUACGCUUAUAGGUUCAUUCGUCUUUACCGCCAUCAAGGUCCAUUUUCUUUCUUUUUGAUUUUAUUAAUUAUACAUUUUCUUUGUGGUUGAAGUAUUAUAUGAAAGAAGUUGAAACCAUAAAGGUUCUUUCUAAACCUAUCAAAUUCAGGAUUUAUAUGGUUGUCACAUAAAUAUUCAUAUGGUUGGGAUUUAUGUCAUGUUGAUAUCAAUUUCGCGUUGAAGUAGUAGAUUUUGUAAAAUUUUAAUAAAAAUUUAUUGAAAUAGCUGGAUUUAUAAUUUUUUUUAAAUAGUCGUAUAUUCAAAAAUUGAGCUCUAAUAAUCAUAAAUGAAAAAUAUUAAACAUCACAUAAAGGUGUGAUAAAGUCUUUUAUAUUUAAAAAAGAAAGAGAAAAACAAGAAAAAUAGGAUAAAAAAAGAGAAACAAGAUAAUAAAAAGGAAGAAGAAGAAGCAUAUGUACCAUGGUGAGCGUAGAGCCCUCCGGCCCUUGUGGUAUAGAUGUGAUCGCCAGGUUGGGGCUUCCGAACAGGUGUAAGCGUGGUUUGUGGCUGUCCCAUUUUAAUUCUUUUUUUUCUAUUUCAAAUCCUUGAGUUUUAAGUUGUCCUCUUUGCAA
rnacentral:lncRNA from 1 species